CUGCAUGUUGCACCCGGGAUUUUCUGAAAUACACGAUGAUGAAAAAAGACCCAAUGCUCAUGCUAAAUUUUUGUCAUUUAGCGUUGCAGGUUUUCUUAGUUCUUCAAUAACUUAUUUGUAUCAAAAUAACUGUCACAUUU